CUCCAUCAUUGAUAUUAAGCAUGCCAGAUAACACUACUUUUAACCAAUUAUGCUAGUUGUAUAUUUUUGGGUUACAUUGUGGAUGAGAUUCCUCCUAUGUAAAUGAAAUUUUGCCAUUAAUUAAAAUAAAUAAAUAAAUAAAAGUGUUGCUAAAAUAAAUGUGCCAAAAAAAUGCCACCACACACAAUGUCAAAAUUGAUAUUAUAUCUAGCAAAACUAGUAGUGGCUCGAAUUUUUUUUUUCCCUGAAAAAUUUCAAACUUUUUCUUCACAUUUUUUAUGAGGCUUGUGAACUUUUAUCUCAUGGGCCGUGCCCACGAGCUUCUAGUGAGCUCAACUAGCCGAGCAAGCCGCUGGAUCCCACCCUUGUCGGCUCGUGACAAGUCCAAGUCAUCCACGAGUCAAGCUUUAACGAGCCAACGAGCCACUCGAUUCGUUUGACAUCCCUAAGCUGUAAAACUGAUUUUUAACCUGUUAAGUCAACAAGUGUGUUAAAUCUAUGCAAAUCGAAUUCCUAAAAUCGAAUCAUUAUUUUCUUAUUAUUUAUAUUGUUGGUAAGUUAGUUUGCUUUUGCUUAAACAGUGUAUCUUGGAAUAGGUUG
rnacentral:lncRNA from 1 species